rnacentral:rRNA from 1 species
AUUGAACGCUGGCGGCAUGCUUUACACAUGCAAGUCGAACGGUAACAGGCCUUCGGGUGCUGACGAGUGGCGAACGGGUGCGUAAUGCAUCGGAACGUACCCAGAGGUGGGGGAUAACGCAGCGAAAGCUGUGCUAAUACCGCAUGUGAUCUGAGGAUGAAAGCGGGGGACCGAGCAGCAAUGUUUGGCCUCGCGCCUUUGGAGCGGCCGAUGUCGGAUUAGCUAGUUGGUGGGGUAAAGGCCUACCAAGGCGACGAUCCGUAGCUGGUCUGAGAGGACGACCAGCCACACGGGGACUGAGACACGGCCCAGACUCCUACGGGAGGCAGCAGUGGGGAAUUUUGGACAAUGGGCGCGAGCCUGAUCCAGCAAUGCCGCGUGAGGGAAGAAGGCCUUCGGGUUGUAAACCGCUUUUGGCAGGAACGAAACGGUGUCCGCUAAUACCGGGCGCUAAUGACGGUACCUGCAGAAUAAGCACCGGCUAACUACGUG